rnacentral:rRNA from 1 species
UUAAAGGUUAAUUAUGUUAAAUUGUUUUUUUUUUGAGUAUUAGUGGUAUAGAAUAAAUGUUUUUGGAGUACUGUAAAGGAAAAUAUAUGUUUUAAUUAUUGUUUAGUAGAAGUUUAUUUUCGUACCUUUUGUAUAAUGGGUUAAUGAUUUUUUGUGUUUAUUACAGUGUCUCGAAGUGAAAGGAUUUACUUAAUAGGUUAGUGUGUUAACGUUGUAUAGUUAUAUAUUGAUUAUUAAGUGGUAGUGAUAUGUUUAUCGUUUUUCAUGAUAGCUAGUUUAUUGAUUAAGAUGUUUAAGUAUUGUAGUAUUAAUGUAGUGUUGUAUCUAUUUUGGUAUUAGUUUAUUAUAUGGGGGAUAAGCUUCAUAUAAGUGAGUUAGAAUUGUUAUAUAUUAUUUUAAUAAUUUAAGUAGAAUUAAGAAUGUUUUACUUUAAAAGUAGUUUAAAUUGUUUUAUGGUUGUUUAAUAUUCAGUUUAUUAGUUAAUAAAUUUUUAAAAAUUAGUUAUAAAUAAGUAUAAUGUUAAUAUGAGUAUUGUUGAGAAGUAAUGAUGUUUACUAAAUGUGAAGUAGUGAAUAGUUUAUGUUUAUAAAUAUAAUUAAUUAAGGUAAAGGAAUUCGGCAAAUAUUAAUCUCGCCUGUUUAUCAAAAACAUCUCUCUUUGUUGUAAAUAAAUAAAGAGUUGGGCCUGCUCGGUGAAUGGUUAUUUUUAACAGCUGCGGUAUUUUAACUGUACUAAGGUAGCAUAAUAAUUUGCCUUAUAAUUUGAGGCUAGAAUGAAUGGUUUGACGAAGGUUAAUCUGUCUCUAUCUUAUUUUUUAGAAUUUAAUUUUAUAGUGAAAAAGCUUUAAUUUUUUAAAGGGACGAGAAGACCCUAUUGAGCUUAUAAUUUUAUUAUUAUUGUAAGUAUUUAUUUUUACAGUGAUAUAUAAAUUUUAAUUGGGGUGAUUAAGGAAUAAGUUUUGUAACUUCCUUAGGGUUAAUAUUAUUUGAUUAAGUAACCAAUAAAUUAUUGCUUUUAUUAUAGUUACCAUAGGGAUAACAGCGUAAUCUAUUUAGAGAGUUCUUAUUGAAAAAUGGGAUUGCGACCUCGAUGUUGGAUUAAGGUAACCACAAGGUGAAGAAGCUUUGUUAGGUGAAUCUGUUCGAUUUUUAAAACUUUACAUGAUCUGAGUUCAGACCGGCGUGAGCCAGGUUGGUUUCUAUCUUUUAAAAUGUUUAUUGCUUCUUUUAGUACGAAAGGACCAAAGAAAGCUAAAAAUUUUAUUAUUAUAAUACAUAGUUGGCA